UAAAUGCGAUACUUGGUGUGAAUUGCAGAAUCCCAUGAACCAUCGAGUCUUUGAACACAAGUUGAGCCCGAGGCUAUUAGGCUGAGGGCACGUAUGCCUGGGUGUCACGUAACUCGCCACCGCCCCUCCCCGGGGCGCGGUAGAGGAUGGCUUCCUGGGAGCC
rnacentral:rRNA from 1 species